UCGAGGAUAUUUAGCAAUGGACGAAAGUCUGACUAUGCGACGCCGCGUGAGGGAUGAAGGUUUUCGGAUCGUAAACCUCUUUCGAUGGGGAAGAAAUGUUUGCCAUAAAUAGUGGCAGAAGCUGACGGUACCCAGAGAAGAAGCCACGGCCAACUCCGUGCCAGCAGCCGCGGUAAUACGGAGGUGGCGAGCGUUACUCGGAUUCAUUGGGUGUAAAGGGCAGGUAGGCGGCUAUGUAAGUUGGAGGUGAAAUCCUUUGGCUCAACCAAAGAACUGCCUUCAAAACUGCAUAGCUUGAGACCAGAAGAGGAGAGCGGAAUUCCCGGUGUAAGAGUGAAAUCUGUAGAUAUCGGGAGGAACACCAGUGGCGAGGGCGGCUCUCUGGUCUGGUACUGACGCUAAACUGCGAAAGCUAGGGGAGCAAACAGG
rnacentral:rRNA from 1 species